rnacentral:rRNA from 1 species
GACGAACCGUGCGAACGUUGUUCGGAAUCACUGGGCUUAAAGGGCGCGUAGGCGGGCCAUAAAGUCAGGGGUGAAAUCCUCCAGCUUAACUGGAGAACUGCCUUUGAUACUGAUGGUCUCGAGUAAGGUAGGGGCAUGCGGAACUGAUGGUGGAGCGGUGAAAUGUGUUGAUAUCAUCAGGAACUCCGGUGGCGAAAGCGGCAUGCUGGACCUUCACUGACGCUGAGGCGCGAAAGCUAGGGGAGCGAACGGG